GGGAAUCUUCCACAAUGGACGCAAGUCUGAUGGAGCAACGCCGCGUGAGUGAAGAAGGCUUUCGGGUCGUAAAACUCUGUUGUUGGAGAAGAAUGGUCGGCAGAGUAACUGUUGCCGGCGUGACGGUAUCCAACCAGAAAGCCACGGCUAACUACGUGCCAGCAGCCGCGGUAAUACGUAGGUGGCAAGCGUUAUCCGGAUUUAUUGGGCGUAAAGCGAGCGCAGGCGGUUUUUUAAGUCUGAUGUGAAAGCCCUCGGCUUAACCGAGGAAGCGCAUCGGAAACUGGGAAACUUGAGUGCAGAAGAGGACAGUGGAACUCCAUGUGUAGCGGUGAAAUGCGUAGAUAUAUGGAAGAACACCAGUGGCGAAGGCGGCUGUCUGGUCUGUAACUGACGCUGAGGCUCGAAAGCAUGGGUAGCGAACAGGAUUAGAUACCCUGGUAGUCCAUGCCGUAAACGAUGAAUGCUAGGUGUUGGAGGGUUUCCGCCCUUCAGUGCCGCAGCUAACGCAUUAAGCAUUCCGCCUGGGGGAGUACGACCGCAAGGUUGAAAC
rnacentral:rRNA from 1 species